rnacentral:rRNA from 1 species
GAUGAACGCUGGCGGCGUGCCUAAUACAUGCCAGUCGAGCGAACAGACGAGGAGCUUGCUCCUAUGACGUUAGCGGCGGACGGGUGAGUAACACGUGGAUAACCUACCUAUAAGACUGGGAUAACUUCGGGAAACCGGAGCUAAUACCGGAUAAUAUAUUGAACCGCAUGGUUCAAUAGUGAAAGACGGUUUUGCUGUCACUUAUAGAUGGAUCCGCGCCGCAUUAGCUAGUUGGUAAGGUAACGGCUUACCAAGGCGACGAUGCGUAGCCGACCUGAGAGGGUGAUCGGCCACACUGGAACUGAGACACGGUCCAGACUCCUACGGGAGGCAGCAGUAGGGAAUCUUCCGCAAUGGGCGAAAGCCUGACGGAGCAACGCCGCGUGAGUGAUGAAGGUCUUCGGAUCGUAAAACUCUGUUAUUAGGGAAGAACAAAUGUGUAAGUAACUAUGCACGUCUUGACGGUACCUAAUCAGAAAGCCACGGCUAACUACGUG